AACGAAUUCUAAAGCUUUAGUUACGAUGCAGUUACGAAAAAACCGCCGACCAUGGACACUUGAAGAAAAACAGUUAUCCCAGUCGCAUCUGUCCAGUUGUUCGCGCGAUAAGCUAAACACAGGCUACCGACGUAGCUACGACCGUUUUUACUACCUACGUUCGGCGCGCGUUGUUCAGUACCGCACAACGUCUACCGUUCACCGUAAAUUGUCUACCGUACAUCGUCAACCAUCAACCAUAUACAGACCACCGUCUACCGUUAACCGUUCCGGGAUUGCUUGUUGUCGCCAC